rnacentral:rRNA from 1 species
UACGUAGGGUGCAAGCGUUGUCCGGAAUUAUUGGGCGUAAAGGGCUCGUAGGCGGUCCGUCACGUCGGGAGUGAAAUCCUGGGGCUUAACCCCAGAACUGCUUCCGAUACGGGCAGACUAGAGGUAGGUAGGGGAGAAUGGAAUUCCUGGUGUAGCGGUGAAAUGCGCAGAUAUCAGGAGGAACACCGGUGGCGAAGGCGGGUCUCUGGGCCGAUACUGACGCUGAGGAGCGAAAGCGUGGGGAUCAAACAGG